UGGAUUCAUAAUUCUGUCACACGGCCAUGUGGACUCUCCGAGUUACUUUUCUAUUACAGUAAAUUAAGAUGAUACUCAUCAUGAACCAUAACUUUGGAAAUGAACCGAAGACAAAAACACCAACAACAAAGAACAAAGCUCCUCAUACAGUCUGGGGUUGCUGAAUCAACAGCAUUGUUGCCAGGUUGUCAUGGCGUCUGAUUGUUGAGUAUCAUGUCACACGCCCCAUCACAGCCAGACGUCCCUCUGAGCCCGCUGCCGAUCCCAUGGUCACCAUUACGUUUACCUUGGCAACAGCAAGAGGCUGGCAAAGACGGAGAAGCCGCGAGACGUUGGUGGGGUCGUAUCACCUCAUGUGAAGCCUCCAAACACUUAAAACAGAUUUUCAAUGAGGUUCUGUACUGGGAGGCACUUAAUGAGUGUGUGUGAGUUUCUUUGUAGGUCUAAAAACUUGUCUAACUUUAUGUUGUUUUCCUCCAAAAUCAGUCGACUACUAAUUUAUAACUACCCACUAUGGAGAAAUUCUCUACAUUCACUUGAAGUGAAACCCCUGCUCUAAAAAGUAAAUAUUGUGAAUGAGCAAGUUUUAGCAAUGACAUUAAAGUAUCACAGCUAUACCAACAUUG